rnacentral:rRNA from 1 species
UCCGUAGGUGGAUAAUUAAGUCAGAGGUGAAAUCCUGCAGCUCAACUGUAGAAUUGCCUUUGAUACUGGUUAUCUUGAGUCAUUAUGAAGUGGUUAGAAUGUGUAGUGUAGCGGUGAAAUGCAUAGAUAUUACACAGAAUACCGAUUGCGAAGGCAGAUCACUAAUAAUGUACUGACACUGAGGGACGAAAGCGUUGGGAGCGAACAGGAUUAGAUACCCUGGUAGUCC